GGCUAGCUAGCUGGGUUGGUUAAAGUGUGCCGCUAGUAACACUGAGGUUGUCGGUUCGAUUCUCGACCUCGUCA